rnacentral:rRNA from 1 species
AGCGAACGCUGGCGGCAGGCCUAAUACAUGCAAGUCGAGCGCACCUUCGGGUGAGCGGCGGACGGGUGAGUAACGCGUGGGAACGUGCCCUUUGGUUCGGAACAACACAGGGAAACUUGUGCUAAUACCGAAUGUGCCCUUCGGGGGAAAGAUUUAUCGCCAUUGGAGCGGCCCGCGCUGGAUUAGCUAGUUGGUGGGGUAAAGGCCCACCAAGGCGACGAUCCAUAGCUGGUCUGAGAGGAUGAUCAGCCACACUGGGACUGAGACACGGCCCAGACUCCUACGGGAGGCAGCAGUAGGGAAUCUUGCGCAAUGGGCGAAAGCCUGACGCAGCCAUGCCGCGUGAAUGAUGAAGGUCUUAGGAUUGUAAAAUUCUUUCACCGGGGAAGAUAAUGACGGUACCCGGAGAAGAAGCCCCGGCUAACUUCGUGCCAGCAGCCGCGGUAAUACGAAGGGGGCUAGCGUUGCUCGGAAUUACUGGGCGUAAAGGGCGCGUAGGCGGACAGUUUAGUCAGAGGUGAAAGCCCAGGGCUCAACCUUGGAACUGCCUUUGAUACUGGCUGUCUUGAGUUCGGGAGAGGUGAGUGGAAUGCCGAGUGUAGAGGUGAAAUUCGUAGAUAUUCGGCGGAACACCAGUGGCGAAGGCGACUCACUGGCCCGAUACUGACGCUGAGGCGCG